rnacentral:tRNA from 1 species
UGGCAAGUAACUCAGUCGGUAGAGUGGAAAACUGUUAAUUUUCAGGUCGUUGGUUCGAACCCAACCUUGCCAGCCA